GACGAACGCUGGCGGCGCGCUUAACACAUGCAAGUCGAACGGAAAGGCCUGCUUUCCCUUGUGGAUUGCGGGUACUCGAGUGGCGAACGGUGAGUAACACGUGAGUGAUCUGCCCCCAACUUUGGUAUAAGCCUGGGAAACUUGGUCUAAUUCCCGAUAGGACCGCAGGGUGGGUCCUUUGGUUGAAAAAGAAUUUCUAGUUGUGGGGAUGAGCUCGGGGCCUUUUAGCUUGUUGGUGGGGUAAUGGGCUACCAAGGGGGAGACGGGUUGCCGGCCUGAGAGGGGGGACGGCCACAUUGGGACUGAGAUACGGCCCAGACUCCGACGGGAGGCAGCAGUGGGGAAUAUUGCACAAUGGGCGGAAGCCUGAUGCAGCGACGCCGCGUGGGGGAUGACGGCCUUCGGGUUGUAAACUCCUUUCGACCGCGAGGAAGCCACCUGGUUGGAAGGGUGGUGACGGUAGUAGUAGAAGAAGCACCGGCUAACUACGUG
rnacentral:rRNA from 1 species